AAGUUACACCAACUCUCUCAUCACCUUUUGUCUCCAAAAUCAUACUAUCGGCACUGAACAAUCCAGGAUGGCUCCAUUGAGUGGAAACAGCUCGUUUCUCCUCGAGGGUCCACUUGGUCCUUCAAGGGUGCAGUUGCAAAAUUAGGUUUACAAAAUUGCGAUGACUGAAGACCAAUGAGUGAGUGGACAUUGGGCAUCCUCUUCGCCAUCUUUGUCAUUGCUGUACAAAACAUCCCAUGGAUAUCUAUCAAGAGCUCUCCUUCCAGAAUAUGUGGAUUGAUGGUACAAAGUAUGACUGCAUGUUGAGCAUGGACAUGGAACUUUCUUGAGCAGUGAACUGUGAGCGAAAUGAUGUGUGUCACUUGCAGCAGGAAGUGUUAACAGCCAGUGCUGAUUCACUGAACUCGAUCUUUCUUUCCGCCACUCCUGCUGGUAAUAUGCCAGGAAGAGUGGUUUUUCCUUGAACCUGUGUCCAAAGUCAGAAUGACAGAGCCCUCAUCUAACCCAUGAAGAGGAUCUGACGUAAGCAAGAACUAAGCUUCUGUUGAUUUAAGCCUACCUAGCCUAUCCUGACCAAUGCUAACUUCAGUGUUAACUAGAGACAGACAUAUUCAAAUAAGAGAAUUCCUUUUCGUUGCUUCCAGAAUUUGUGAAAGUAGUUGGCUUAUUAUUAUUGAAGCAAGACACACUAAAUGCAGCUAAUUAUACCUAAAUUCAGAUGAUACAUAAAAAAAUCAGGAAAAAACUAAAAGCCUUCAAAAUCUUAACCUCAAGAGAGAAUUACCACAAAAACUCCUAUCAUCAGUAAUCUCUUUAAUGAAUACAAGUUUUCUGUUUCAAUGGUUAUAUUUUUUCAUUUCUAGAAAUUCUUUUUGGUUCUUUUCAAAUUUUGCUUAUUCUUUU
rnacentral:lncRNA from 1 species